UUGGGAGAAGAGAGAUUUGGGUCCAGCUAGAGCUAAGGUUUGUUUUGUGGUCUGAAAGAUUUGGCCACCAACGUCAAUGGUGAUAAUAUCUGAUUGUGGACCAAUGCCUCGAGAGCGAUUAAGGUGGUCAUUUUGAGAGGCCAUUGUUGUGAUAAAAGGAGGCAUUCUUCUUCCUAUUGCUUCUCCUUUGAAAACUCUUACAACGCUAGAGAGCGGUUGUUGAGGAGGAGGUAUUGAGAUGGU
rnacentral:misc_RNA from 1 species